UACGAAGGGGGCUAGCGUUGCUCGGAAUCACUGGGCGUAAAGCGCACGUAGGCGGGUCGUUAAGUCAGGGGUGAAAUCCUGGAGCUCAACUCCAGAACUGCCCUUGAUACUGGCGAUCUUGAGUCCGGGAGAGGUGAGUGGAACUGCGAGUGUAGAGGUGAAAUUCGUAGAUAUUCGCAAGAACACCAGUGGCGAAGGCGGCUCACUGGCCCGGUACUGACGCUGAGGUGCGAAAGCGUGGGGAGCAAACAGG
rnacentral:rRNA from 1 species